GGGAUUGUGGCUUUGUGGUAGAGUGUUUGCCUCAUAUGUGUGAGGCCCUGAGUUCGAUUCUCAGCACCA
rnacentral:tRNA from 1 species